AUUACAUACUCCUAUACAAUACAAUCGAUUUUCUCUUGAAUCGUUUCUCCUCCAAUGGUUUUUCUUAAGAAGCGGAACAUAUCAAAUGUAUGAGGAAUAUACCAACGCAUGUAUCCGUUGUAAAGAGUUAUGAUUUUAUUGAAUACACUAAUAUCUUUCUAUUACAUUUAUUGGUGUAUCUUAAUAAUAGGUAAUACAGUAUGCAUACAUUACGUAAUUAUUGACGUAAUUAUUAACUAUAACAUAAUCUUACGAUAACUUAAACACGAUUGUAUAACAUUUCUAGAUCUGGUCACAAUUUAUUACCGCAAAGCAGUUUUCUACAAAAGACUCAAGCAAUUUUUCCAACCUAGUACAUUUACAUGUAUGUUAUUUAACGCGUUCCAUGUACCAUUCCUUGCGUGUACCACACAAUUUUCGGUACACAUUGAAACUCAUUUUCAGGCCAAAUGAUAUUUUUAUCAUUGGUAGAUAAAGAACAAGGAAAUAAUUGUCGAUAUUACUAUUACAUGUUCUAUGAUAUAAUAUUUGUUAAGUUGAGUCAGGUUUAAUCAUUUACUCUAUUAAAAAAUAAAUUUUCAGCUCAAAAGUGAAAAA